rnacentral:rRNA from 1 species
UAAUACGUAGGGGGCGAGCGUUGUCCGAAGUUACUGGGCGUAAAGCGCGCGUAGGCGGCCAUCUAAGUUCGGGGUGAAAGGUUCAACGCUCAACGUGAACAGUGCCCUGAAUACUGGCUGGCUUGAGUUCGGGAGGGGGCAGUGGAAUUCCGGGUGUAGCGGUGAAAUGCGUAGAUAUCCGGAGGAACACCGAUGGCGAAGGCAGCUGCCUGGCCCAGAACUGACGCUGAGGUGCGAAAGCGUGGGGAGCGAACGGGAUUAGAUACCCCGGUAGUCCACGCCGUAAACGAUGAGUGCUAGGUGUUCGGGGUAUCGACCCCCCGGGUGCCGCCGCUAACGCAGUAAGCACUCCGCCUGGGGAGUACGGCCGCAAGGUUG